UGACCACGCGAUGAAUGAAUAAAGUACACUGACACACAGAUAUUCUGCUCUGCCAGUCCAGCUGAGGGUCCAAGCCCCUUACAGGCUCCCUGCUGAGCCCUGUAAACAGUUGCGACUCGGCAGGGAGCCUGUAAGCACCUGGGACCCUCAGAAUAUCUGUGUGUCAGCGUACUUUAUUCACCGGUCAUUGGGUCAGGGGUCUGCAAGGGACAGACUCCCCACAGCUGGUGACCCCUCGAGAGGAGCCCUGCCCCCAGCUGGUGCCCCAUGUGAGGCGCUGUGUGAGGAACUGUGUGAGGAAUGCUGUGAAGGAAACGCGACGAACCGCCCGAAAACGAAGGGCAAAGCGGCUGAGAUCUUUGAACUCCCUUUGAACUUUGAGAAUGGUGACUGGAAGAUGACAAUUCAUGUUGUUUUCAGGAAAGCUAUGACCGAGAAACCAAGGAACUCACUAUCUUGUCCUCUUGGAUGCCAGCUAUAAAUUGAAUCAAGUUGGACACCGGAAUUUUGACCACUUUCCACCUUUCUAUCGUGG
rnacentral:lncRNA from 1 species